AGUGAACGCUGGCGGUAGGCCUAACACAUGCAAGUCGAACGGCAGCACAGGAGAGCUUGCUCUCUGGGUGGCGAGUGGCGGACGGGUGAGGAAUACAUCGGAAUCUACCUUUUCGUGGGGGAUAACGUAGGGAAACUUACGCUAAUACCGCAUACGACCUACGGGUGAAAGUGGGGGACCGCAAGGCCUCACGCGAUUAGAUGAUCCGAUGUCCGAUUAGCUAGUUGGCGGGGUAAUGGCCCACCAAGGCGACGAUCGGUAGCUGGUCUGAGAGGAUGAUCAGCCACACUGGAACUGAGACACGGUCCAGACUCCUACGGGAGGCAGCAGUGGGGAAUAUUGGACAAUGGGCGCAAGCCUGAUCCAGCCAUACCGCGUGGGUGAAGAAGGCCUUCGGGUUGUAAAGCCCUUUUGUUGGGAAAGAAAUCCUGUCGAUUAAUACUCGGUGGGGAUGACGGUACCCAAAGAAUAAGCACCGGCUAACUUCGUG
rnacentral:rRNA from 1 species